rnacentral:tRNA from 1 species
GGUGGCUCAAUGGUAGAGCGUUUGCCUUGCAUGCAUAAGGCCCUGGGUUUGAUUCCUCAGCACCA